CGGAGGGUCAUUACAAGUGACCCCGGUCUAACCACCGGGAUGUUCAUAACCCUUUGUUGUCCGACUCUGUUGCCUCCGGGGCGACCCUGCCUUCGGGCGGGGGCUCCGGGUGGACACUUCAAACUCUUGCGUAACUUUGCAGUCUGAGUAAACUUAAUUAAUAAAUUAAAACUUUUAACAACGGAUCUCUUGGUUCUGGCAUCGAUGAAGAACGCAGCGAAAUGCGAUAAGUAAUGUGAAUUGCAGAAUUCAGUGAAUCAUCGAAUCUUUGAACGCACAUUGCGCCCCCUGGUAUUCCGGGGGGCAUGCCUGUUCGAGCGUCAUUUCACCACUCAAGCCUCGCUUGGUAUUGGGCAACGCGGUCCGCCGCGUGCCUCAAAUCGACCGGCUGGGUCUUCUGUCCCCUAAGCGUUGUGGAAACUAUUCGCUAAAGGGUGUUCGGGAGGCUACGCCGUAAAACAACCCCAUUUCUAAGGUUGACCUCGGAUCAGGUAGGGAUACCCGCUGAACUUAAGCAUAUCAAUAAGCGGAGGAAAAGAAACCAACAGGGAUUGCUCUAGUAACGGCGAGUGAAGCAGCAAUAGCUCAAAUUUGAAAUCUGGCGUCUUCGACGUCCGAGUUGUAAUUUGUAGAGGAUGCUUCUGAGUAACCACCGACCUAAGUUCCUUGGAACAGGACGUCAUAGAGGGUGAGAAUCCCGUAUGCGGUCGGAAAGGUGCUCUACACGUAGCUCCUUCGACGAGUCGAGUUGUUUGGGAAUGCAGCUCUAAAUGGGAGGUAAAUUUCUUCUAA
rnacentral:rRNA from 1 species